rnacentral:rRNA from 1 species
GACGGAGGUGGCAAACGUUGCUCGGAAUCACUGGGCUUAAAGGGCGUGUAGGCGGUCCAUCAAGUCGGGUGUGAAAUCCCUCGGCGCAACCGAGGAACCGCAUUCGAAACUGAUGGGCUGGAGUGCGGGAGGGGUAAGUGGAACUCCAGGUGUAGCGGUGAAAUGCGUAGAUAUCUGGAGGAACGCCGGUGGCGAAAGCGACUUACUGGCCCGUAACUGACGCUGAGGCGCGAAAGCUAGGGGAGCAAACGGG